CGAAAUUCUGGUUUUACAGUUUUGAAAUGAAAAACUGUCAUCCCAUUUAAUCGAAUUGGGAUGUCCUGGAUCUGACAUGUCUCUUGAGAGGAGUAACAUGAAGCUCAGAAUUAUGGGGGUAUUCAAUACUCCCCAAUAAAAGAGGAAUUGGUCUAUGGUCGAUGCAGUAACAAAAAAAUAGGAAUUCCUGGUUGUACCUCGUGAAACCCGACUUCUUUCUUUUGUUUUGUGGAAUUAAUCAUUCCCUUUCUUU
rnacentral:misc_RNA from 1 species